GUGAUAUUCACGGGUGGGGCCCCUCAUGCGGCUUUGUCCCCCUCUACGUUAGUAUUUUACAGCAGUGGGGCAUAUUACGUAUCUCCUUCUAUACAUUCCCCAGUUACAUAUUUCUUCACUUCAUAAAUCUAUGUAACGUGCACGAAACUCGCGCGAGAUCCACACUGGACUCGCAUGAAUAGUGUCUUGGUUUCCUUGACAACAAUAGCAAAGUGGGGGAAAUGUAUCUUAUUCACAAAUAAAGUUUAGAUAACACUGAUUUAGAAUUACCAUGAACUCAUGAUAGCAUUUAAAUUUUCAUUUCUGUUCAAUGUCAAAAUAAGAAAAAUCAACUAUUUUUUAUUUUACCAUGUAUUAAGAAAGAAAUGAAAGUAUCUAUAUCUUACUUCAAAUAUAUAGUCAAUAGAUGGCAAAUUAUGAUUAUUUAUCAAGUGUUCAUGUUUCGAAGUUCAAAAGAUGUUACUGGAUUUUUAAUGAAAAUGAUAAAUUAUGAUGAAUCAAAAAGUUAUAAUUCAUGUUCAAUAAUUUCAAUGUUAUAUGAAAAAGAUAAAAUUUUAUGUAAUAAUUGUGAAUAAAAUUUAUUUUUGACUUAUUAAAUUAAAAAAAAUUA